CGGGCGGGCUGUCGGCUCUGCAGACGGGGCGGCGGCCGAGCUUCAUGCCCGCGGCCUCCCUGGGGAUACCGGGGCUGCGGGCCGCCGCUCUCGGCCGGGGUGGCUGGCGCCCGCGCGGCUGGGCACUGACAGGUGUUGCAUGAGAGCUGAAAGGAAGUUGCAGAGUUUUCACAGGACUGGAUGAUGUUGUGACAAAGGUAAAAGAUCUUGGUGCAACCUAAGAACUCAGUUGAGACCCCAGAAAGGCAACACCCCAGGAGUAAAGGCUUUAGAAGCAGGGCUGUGUAAAAUUCACUAGUGUAAAGGAAAAACUAAAAUAUCGGAAAUGAAGAAUUCAUAGAAUUGGCUGAACUCCAGACUAGAUACAGCCGAAGAGAGGAUUUUUCAACUCAGAUUCACAUCAACAGAAAUGGUCUGAACUGAAAUGCAGAGAAAGAAGAAAAAUGAGGGGAAAGAAAGAAAACAGAAAAGAAUAUUAGAGGCCUGGGGGACUAGAUCAAAUGGUCAAAUGUAUGUAAAAUUGGACUCCCAAAAGGAGGUAAGGAAGCAAAUGUGCCAGAAGAAAGAUUUAAAGAGAUAAUUAUGUAAGAAGGUUACAAAUUGAUGAAACCAUGUAAUACCAACCCACAUCCAAACAGUUCAGCAAGCACUCAAAAAAUAUAUAGGUUCCAAGGAAAAUACAUGGAGGCAUAUCAUAGUUCAGCUGCUGAAAAUCAGCACCAAAGAGGAAAGUUCUAAAAGGAGACAAAUAAAGAAAGACACAUUACAUUCAUGGAGCCAGCAAUAAGAAUGACAGCAGACUCCUCAUCAAAGGCAAUGGAAGCCAGAAGA